rnacentral:lncRNA from 1 species
AAAGCAUGUGUGUGUGUGCACACACACACCACACUCACCUCCCUUUUCCGGAACCCUUCAGUUCUGACUGUCACCUGGAAUUGUUCUGACCACCUGUCAAGGUCUCUCAGCAUCCUUGAGUGGUGGAGGUCUUAUAGCUUGUCAGUCAUGGGAGAAUCUUCUGUCUCACUGGCCUUGAGUCCUACAUAUUAUUGUCCCAGAACCUCUGAACCAGGAGACGUCCUGACGUGUCACCAACUGUCUCAAUGCCUUUUUAUGGUAAGAAAGA